UGGUCUGUGUGCUUAGAAAGACUCUAGG
rnacentral:piRNA from 1 species